AAAGGCCAGACCAGCGCUCGUGGUGUUCGCAGCUCGGCUGAAGACCGGGCUGGUCGGGAAGGCUCGGCCCGGGGCAUAGUUUUCUGAUAUCUUUGGGUGAGGCGACCAGGCAGGGAUGAGAUUUUCUUCUACAGAACCCGCAAAGUGUUACACGAAGGUGCAUACACAGGAGGGCAGGAGAAAAACGUUUUAAGCCCUCUAAAAUGUUUCACUUCUUGGUAUCAUGUUUCCUGUUAGUUUUUUCUCGUUCUGGGAAAAAACGUUUCUGGGCUUGAGCAUCAGCCAGUCGUCCUCAGAGCAGCGUUGUAAGAAGGUGAACUUCUCACACCCGAGUUUAAAUCUGGUCUGGCCGCUGGCUGUGGACCUUGGCCUUAAGCGUCCUGUUCAUCUCCCGAGGCCUUGCUUCCUUACCCCGGACACAGCACCACUGAGCGGACUGCUGUGUGUUUGAAUUGGAGGAAUUAUAUUUGAUAUUAAGUUUUCUUUUUAACAUGCUCGUGGAAGGAUAUACCAGUCUCAGAUGCCGUCUUGAGGAGGAGCUCUGCCUUGCGGUUCCAGCGCCAGGGGCUGGUGCUAAGGCUGUCCUUGAACUCCUGCACCUCUACAGUAACGUGGUGUGAGUUUGGUCAUCCCAAAACGAUGCCGGCAGGAAAUCUCAUUGCUCUCUCUGUGACUCGAGAGUCUCUGCAGCUGCUCCUUUCAGGGCCCAUUACCUGGCUUGUUGUGGGUGUGCUGGGUGUGGUGGCUAUUGGCGUGAUCACCUACUACGUGGUGAAAGAGUUGAACAAGGGGACCUAUAAAAUCUACAAAACGGAGUGACAGGAAUCCCCACCAGGCACCCAGUGGAGAGAAGGCUCCCACCCUCACCGGAAUGUUUCAGGGCAGUAUGCUACACGUGUUUUAAAAUUUGAAUGUGAGCAAAAUAAAUUUCUGGACAAAAAAAUACAAAUUAAUUAAACACAAUGAUUUGAGCACCUACA